rnacentral:rRNA from 1 species
GACCUCAGUUCGGGAGAG